GAGUAACCUGCCUUACACGAAGGGGAUAGCCUCUAGGAAACGGAGAAUAAUACCCUAUGACAUUACAGCCUCGCAUGAAGCAGUAAUCAAAGUGUUUAGCGGUGUAAGAUGGACUUGCGUCUGAUUAGCUAGUUGGUGAGAUAACAGCUCACCAAGGCAACGAUCAGUAGCCGGCUUGAGAGAGUGUACGGCCACAUUGGGACUGAGACACGGCCCAG
rnacentral:rRNA from 1 species